rnacentral:misc_RNA from 1 species
CCUCUGGGCACUUUACGUGAAGUCCGGUUCAUGGCCUGUUUCCGGUUCAAGCUUUGGUGGAUGGCUCAGAAAAUGGGAGAUCACGGAAGGGACAUUCCUCUGGAGACGCAGUUUUUGCUAGUUGAGACUAAGGAUGGGUCCCACCUCGAAUCGGACGAUGGAAACGAAGAGAAUCAGAUCAUUUACACCGUUUUCCUUCCUUUGAUUGAAGGAUCUUUCAGAGCUUGUUUACAGGGGAACACGAACGAUGAGCUCGAGCUUUGUUUGGAAAGUGGUGAUGAGGACACCAAAGCGUCGUCGUUUACACAUUCUUUGUUCAUUCACGCCGGUACGGAUCCGUUUGUUACGAUUACCGAUGCGAUAAGGGCGGUUAAGUUGCACUUGAAAACUUUCCGUCAACGGCACGAGAAAAAAUUGCCUGGGAUCAUUGAUUAUUUUGGGUGGUGCACCUGGGACGCGUUUUACCAGGAAGUGACUCAAGAAGAGGUCGAGGCUGGGCUUCAGAGUUUAGCCGCAGGUGGGACCCUUCCAAAAUUCGUGAUCAUUGACGACGGAUGGCAAUCAGUUGGUGGUGACCCACCAGAGGAAGCCAAAUCCAACGAUCAAAAAGUGAACAAACAGCAGCCGUUGCUUAGGUUGACUGGGAUCAAAGAAAAUUCGAAAUUCCAAAUGAAAGAUGAUCCAAUGGUGGGGAUAAAGAAUAUAGUAAACAUAGCGAAACAGAAGCACGGGUUGAAAUACGUUUACGUAUGGCACGCGAUCACAGGAUACUGGGGUGGGGUCCAUCCAGGAGUGAAGGAGAUGGAGAGAUACGACUCGUUGAUGAAAUAUCCGAUGGUGUCAAAAGGGGUGACAGAGAAUGAACCAACAUGGAUGAAUGAUGCAAUGGCAGUGCAGGGAUUGGGGCUUGUGAAUCCAAAAAAUGUGCACACAUUUUACAAUGAGUUGCAUAGUUAUUUGGCUUCUGCGGGUAUAGAUGGGGUUAAGGUGGACGUGCAGUGCAUAUUGGAGACGCUGGGCGCUGGUUUGGGAGGAAGGGUGGAGUUGACUAGGCAGUAUCAUCAGGCUCUUGAUGCAUCUGUGGCUAAGAACUUCCCGGAUAAUGGGUGCAUUGCCUGCAUGAGCCAUAAUACUGAUGCUUUAUAUUGCUCGAAACAGACGGCAGUGAUGAGAGCGUCAGAUGAUUUCUUCCCGCGGGACCCAGUGUCACAUACCAUCCACAUUGCUGCAGUGGCUUACAACAGUGUUUUUCUAGGAGAAUUUAUGCAGCCUGAUUGGGAUAUGUUCCACUCCCUCCAUCCAGCUGCUGAAUAUCACGCAUCUGCUAGAGCCAUUAGCGGUGGCCCUGUCUAUGUCAGUGAUGAGCCUGGGAAGCACGACUUCAAGGUAUUGAAGAAGCUGGUCCUGCCUGACGGCUCAAUUCUUCGAGCCCGUUUGCCUGGCCGCCCUACCCGUGACUGUUUGUUCUCUGACCCCGCCCGUGAUGGUGUCAGCUUGUUGAAGAUAUGGAACAUGAACAAAUACACAGGGGUCCUAGGAGUCUACAAUUGCCAAGGGGCAGCUUGGAACCGCGUUGAAAGGAAGAACACAUUCCACCAAACGAAAUAUGAGGCUAUAACAGGAGCCAUAAGGAGCCGCGAUGUCCACCUCAUUGCUGAAGCAGCCACUGAUUCCAGCUGGAACGGUGACUCUGUUAUUUAUGGCCAUAGAACCGGAGAACUUACUACUCUUCCUUACAAUGUAUCAAUGCCGGUGUCACUCAAAGUUCUUGAGCAUGACAUGUUCACUGUAACACCCAUCAAGGUUUUAGCACUCGGAUUCAGCUUUGCACCCUUUGGGCUCAUAGACAUGUACAAUGCUGGUGGAGCCAUUGAGAGGCUUAAAUAUGAAGUGAAAGGAGGUGCGAAACUAUCAGAGUUUGAGGAAGGAUAUAAGGGUGAAAACAGUGGCGUAAGUGAUGAGAGAGUAGAAAAUUGCAACAGUGAAUUGGUUGGGGAAGUGUACAUGGAGGUUAAAGGGUGUGGCAGGGUUGGUGCUUUUUUGGCAACUAAAACAAAAAAAGGGAUUUUGGGCUCAAACUUUGUUGGUUU